CCUACGGGUGGCUGCAGUGGGGAAUAUUGGUCAAUGGGCGCAAGCCUGACCCAGCAACGCCGCGUGCAGGAAGACGGCUUUCUGGGUUUUAACUUCUUUUUACAGGGGAGAGUAGUAGACGGUACCUGUCUAAUAAGCCACGCCUAACUACGUGCCAGCAGCCGCUUUAAUACGGUGGUGGCCAGCGUUGUCCGGAUUUACUGGGUGUAAAGGGCGUGUAGCCGGGUUGACAAGUCAGAUGUGAAAUCCCGCGGCUUAACCGCAGAACUGCAGUUGAAACUGUUGAUCUUGAGUACUGUAGAGGCAGACGGAAUUCGUAGUGUAGCGGUGAAAUGCUUAGAUAUUAGGAGGAACACCAGUGGCGAAGGCGGUCUGCUGUACAGCAACUGACGGUGAGGCGCGAAAGCGUGGGGAGCAAACAGGAUUAGAUACCCGAGUAGUC
rnacentral:rRNA from 1 species